GGGCCAUUUGGGAAGAAGCAGUUGUACGAGAUCUACCUCUGCGUCGACAAGGACGCCAAGAGCUUCAUCGACUGCCCUGUCCUGCCCAACCUCAGCUGCCCUGCCGAGGUGCUCUUCCAUCCGUUCCACACCUGGAUGCUCAACACCACAUCGGCUGCCAACAUCGUGAUGCCCACUGAAACUGUGCUGGCCUAAUUAAGAGCCUUUAAUUUGCUAGCUAAGCUGCCAUGAUCUACUUGAUCAACCUGUCCUAAGAGC
rnacentral:misc_RNA from 1 species